CAUGCUAAUUUUUACUGUUGGUGUCGCUAUAUACCGCAUUUCUUAUGUUUUGCUUCCAUUGCUAAACAUGGCUAGCAUUAGCCAUGUCAUGAGCUUGACUACAUUAGCAGGACUUACUAUGUUUACCGUAUGUUUUUAACCUGUGUCUCCGAAGACGGAGCAGGUCUAGGAACUGCUUGACUGCUUGAUGUGUACCCAGUAUCUUGACAAAAACUUUUGAUAUCAAGGUGAAACCUGAUACACAAUGUCCCCUCAGUAUGACAGCUGACAACUUCAACACUUGAUGUGUUUUGAUUCUAACUGUGGCCACAGCAGGCAGAGUCUAUGAAAAUUAUGUUUACGAUCACGCAUUGCUGCAGAUGAUUAUAUCUUUAGAAGACCUCACACAAAUUUGAGGUUGGACUUGGCAGCACUGGUUCAAGUAGGUACUGGCGUAGUUAUAAGAAAAAUGAAAGCAACAUCUCCCUCUAUGCACGUUCAUUUUCUUUUAACUUUAUUCUUGAGAGGAAACUAAUUUGUUGGAGGACAGUUCUGGAAAGCCUCCAUUGUAAUUACGCCUCUUCAUUCAUUCGCUAUGUGUACAGAGGUUAACAUUGUGUACAGUUAGAGUUCAACAAAUUUAACCUUUCACUACAUUUACAUCAUGGUACU